GUAAGGACUAAUUGACUGGCUUUCUGUUCUCAACCAAACGGUCAUUCCUACUUGUAAAAACCUUUUAAAGGUAAUGUUACCACAUUUAUUUAUUCAUUUGUUAUGUUGUGAGUACACCACAGUUCUUUCAAUGGAAAUUUAAUUAAUAUUUGUGUGUGUUUUCUUACUGUUUAGCACAAACGUUUUCUGCGCAAGUUUAAAUUUCUCUCAGUGAGUACAUCCGGCCCUUUACUCAUAAAAUGUUACCUCAUUUAUUUAUUAUGUUGUGAGUACACCACAGUUCUGUAAGUGGAAAAAUAAUUCAUAUGUGUGUGUGGGUUUUCUUACUGUUCAGCACAAACAUUUCCUGCGCAAGUUUGAAUUUCUCUAGGACUGAUGGAUGGCCAUUCACUCAUAAAACCUUUUAAAGGUUAAUUAUGGAUCUUUACCAUUGAGGAGACUGGCUGACUGACUGUUCUCAACCAACCAUCAUUAACUAACAAAAACUUUAAAGGUAAGUAUGAAUGCGUCUAGAGUUUUCGAUCUUUACCAUUGAGGAGGCUGACUGACUAUCAUCUAUUACUACAAGUGGACCUAUUCAUUUACUCAUUAUGCUGUGAGUACACCACAGUUUUAUCAGUAAAACAAUAAUGUUUGUUGUUUUCACUGCUUGGCAUAGACAAAUGUGACCCUGUGUAAUUUGGAAAUGUCUUGGGAAAAGUGUACAUCUUAAUGUUUAAAUGUCGUUUGAAUUAAGUAACAGUACACUGAUUUAUUAAAAGUGUACUAUACAAAUCUAAAUAUAAUAAUGUAAAAUAGUGUAAAUCUAAUAUUAGUUUUAAUGUGAAUUUGGACUGAACCGCACACUUUUGUUUUAUGUCUAAAACAAUGUUUGUAAAAUAAAUGAUUGUUCAAUAAACUGUAAUAAUUUUA